CCUACGGUGUGCUGCAGUGGGGGAUAUUGCACAAUGGGGGAAACCCUGAUGCAGCGACGCCGCUUUGGUGAAGAAGCGCCUCGGCGCGUAAAGCCCUGUCAGCAGUGACGACAAUGCCGGUACCUGAAGAAUAAGCCCCGGCUAACUACGUGCCAGCAGCCGCGGUAAUACGUAGGGUGCAAGCGUUAUCCGGCUUUCCUGGGUGUAACGGGGGCGCAGACGGCGAUGCAAGCCAGGAGUGAAAGCCCGGGGCCCAACCCCGGGACUGCCCUUGGAACUGCGUGGCUAGAGUGCAGGAGGGGCAGGCGGAAGUCCUGGUGUAGCGGUGAAAUGCGUAGAUAUCAGGAGGAACACCGGUGGCGAAGGCGGCCUGCUGGACUGCAACUGACGUUGAGGCCCGAAAGCGUGGGGAGCAAACAGGAUUAGAUACCCGGGUAGUC
rnacentral:rRNA from 1 species